GAUGAACGCUAGCGGGAGGCCUAACACAUGCAAGCCGAGCGGUAUUUGUUCUUCGGAACAGAGAGAGCGGCGCACGGGUGCGGAACACGUGUGCAACCUGCCUUUAUCUGGGGGAUAGCCUUUCGAAAGGAAGAUUAAUACCCCAUAAUAUAUUGAGUGGCAUCACUUGAUAUUGAAAACUCCGGUGGAUAGAGAUGGGCACGCGCAAGAUUAGAUAGUUGGUGAGGUAACGGCUCACCAAGUCAAUGAUCUUUAGGGGGCCUGAGAGGGUGAUCCCCCACACGGGUACUGAGACACGGACCAGACUCCUACGGGAGGCAGCAGUGAGGAAUAUUGGACAAUGGGUUAGCGCCUGAUCCAGCCACCCCGCGUGAAGGACGACGGCCCUAUGGGUUGUAAACUUCUUUUGUAUAGGGAUAAACCUACUCUCGUGAGAGUAGCUGAAGGUACUAUACGAAUAAGCACCGGCUAACUCCGUG
rnacentral:rRNA from 1 species